CCCAACCUUUAGCCAUGCCUACCUCUCACUCUCCUCAACUGUAAUCGCACUCCUUAUCUUUCAUCAUAUUCACCAUUCCUCUCCUCAACGACUACUAUCGGUUCAUUUACAACCUCCUUUUUUCUUUUUUUUUUCUCAGUUAAUCUCACAAUCUCACCUCCCCCUCUCCUCAGCCAUCGCCUCAUUUGUUAGGAACGAGUCAG
rnacentral:lncRNA from 1 species